CACUGUAUAGCUCAGUUGUCUAGAGUGUGAUGCUGAUAACACCAUUGGUCGCGGGUUCAAUCCCUGUACGGGUGA